rnacentral:rRNA from 1 species
UCUAGAGAUUUGGCGGACGGGUGAGUAAUACAUCGGAACGUGCCCAGUCGUGGGGGAUAACGUAGCGAAAGUUACGCUAAUACCGCAUACGAUCUACGGAUGAAAGCGGGGGAUCGCAAGACCUCGCGCGAUUGGAGCGGCCGAUGUCAGAUUAGGUAGUUGGUGGGGUAAAGGCUCACCAAGCCGACGAUCUGUAGCUGGUCUGAGAGGACGACCAGCCACACUGGGACUGAGACACGGCCCAGACUCCUACGGGAGGCAGCAGUGGGGAAUUUUGGACAAUGGGCGCAAGCCUGAUCCAGCCAUUCCGCGUGCAGGAUGAAGGCCCUCGGGUUGUAAACUGCUUUUGUACGGAACGAAACGGCGCUCUCUAAUACAGGGCGCUAAUGACGGUACCGUAAGAAUAAGCACCGGCUAACUACGUGCCAGCAGCCGCGGUAAUAAUCGUCGAC